ACAGUUGACCCUAAAGAGGGUGGUAGUGGAGGGGGGGGUCAGGCUUGGGGAAGGGUUCCCUGAGGGAACAGGAGAAAAAUAGAGAGUUAGAGGUACGUGUGCAUGUGUUUUGGGAGUCCAAACGGGUGAAGGUAGAACCAUUGAAUGAGGAGGAGGGGAGGAGCAGCAUUUCCCCAGAGGACUUUUUGCCCAGAGGUGGAGGCAUCUCACACGUCUGCGGACAGCUGAGGAGAAGCACGUGGUCCCUGUGCAGUUUAUAAACAGAUGUUGAGGUCUUGCACGUGAAAUUUCUGCCAGAAGAGAGAUAGAAGUUUUCUUCAGGAGUGUGAUUGCUGGGCUGUUAGCCUGGACACGUCCAACUCCAAAGGGCCAGCCCUACUUCAGUAACUCUUUGAUGCACAGUGAAUACAUAUUAAGAGCUGGGAAUAACGUUAUCACUCUGGGAUGCAAAAGCUAUCAUUUGAGACUUGCAGUGGAUUAUAAUUUACGACCAGUUUAUCUGAUGUGAGAUUUUGAUGAAGCCAGCAUCUAAUUUCAGGAUUUAUAGCAAGCUGUAGGCACUGUCCUCCCAAUCUCAGCCUACAGUUGUGCUCCUGGAUGAGAUCUCUGGGAAAGCUGGUGUCCUUGGCAUUGCUUGGUAAUGCGUGCUGCCUUUUCCAUCACCAUGCUGGGAUCAUGCUGCCCUCCCACAAGACAAGUGAUUUCACCUCUCCAGUCAGACAGAGCUGAUGGUCCAGUUGCCAGCUAGCCACUGUACUGGUGGGAAGGAGUAUUUCUACCCAGCUUGAAGGUGAGAGAUAAUUUACCACCUUCCCUGAAUAACAGCCUUCAGUCCAUCUGCUGGUCAGUUUUCUUGGAAAUGUAAUCACCUGCUCAUACAUGUUGGCACUGUCAGUCGAUUGAGCUGCUGUUCUCCCUUUUCUACUUGUGGCACUGUGCAGCUCUGAUGAUGGGCCCUGGGGUGAGCAGCUGGGAAACGACACUGCUGCUGUGGGAAGUCCUCUAGGGCAGCUGUAUGCAUUGCACACUUUGCCUCAUUUUGCAAAAAUGUGAUGAGAAAAUGUCAAAGAUUUAUAGAAACUUGAUGUAUUGCAAAAGCAUGGCACUUGUCCCUUUGAGGUCUUAAUGUUUAAAAGCAGUUAAAUAAUACACAUAGGUUUCUUAGCUGGGGAGAAACUAAGGGGUGGUCAGUUAUGAGGCAGAGAGCUGAAAGGGGUAACCUGACUGUAGAGAGGCACAGCCAUGGCUUUGGUUAUGAUAUUUUGCAAUUGUCCUGGUUAUUCCUGGAAACUGUAUUUAUCUAUCAGUGCUUCGUCAUGCAGCCUAUGUGCAGUCUGCCUCUCACAGAGAGGCUCGUAUUCAAUAGUGCUUGCUGCAAGAGUUUGAAAGCUUGUCUUUUCAGACUUUUCUUGUCGAGAUGUUUUUUUUUUUCAACUAUUCAGGACAGUACCUUCUCCUCUGGUGUGUGUCUUUAUAAAUGGUGCAUGUCUGCCAGUGGUCACGAGCUGUAGACUUUGUGAAAUAGCAGUCUCCAUGCUGGUUAUUUCAAGUUGACAUUUAGCUCAAAAAUAGACUGAAAAAAAUCCUUAAAAGAAGAAAUCUGCUGUUGUCUGGUGGCCUGGGCUCAGCAGAACAGGACGGAGGAUCUCUUCCUUGGAGAUUGUCCAUUAAGAGCAUUCAGCCUUGAUUUUGUUGUUUUCUUGAGUUUAGUUAUGUUUCUGGUCAAUUUUCUGAGUCUUUAGAAUAUCUUAGGAGAGUGAUUUAGGGUUAUUACAACUAUUUAUGUAUCAGAAAAUUUUGGAUUAUCUAUUUUAUUGUGGCUAAAUUAGUUUCUUUGCUGUCUAACUGUGUUAUCUGCAU
ensembl:lncRNA